rnacentral:lncRNA from 1 species
GCCGUUAAAAAGUGAAUUAGAAGAACUUCUCUUGGAAUAGAAAGAUUUGGGCCCGUGAGAGUAAGGUCAAUAAAGCGGUCCCAUGAUUCGCCAAGAGAUCCUUCUUCUAGUUGUCUAAAAGAAAGAAUCUUGAUCCAAAGAUCCGCCACUUUGGAGAUCAGAAAAUAUUGAGAGAGAAAACUAUUGUAUAGCUCCUUCCAAUCUCCAUGAGCACUUCCUAUGUUGAGUUUAUACCAAUGUCUAGCUUUUCCCGUUAAAGAGAACGAAAAGAGCUUCCAUUUAAGGGUCUCAUCAGACAUGCCUUCAAUGAGAAGGAGGUCACAGACUCGAUAAAACUCUCUUAGGUGUGUGUAUGGGUUUUCCUCACCUUCUCUAGAGAAAGGUUGUUUUUAAAGAAAUUCUAUGUAUUCCGGGCUUAUCUCAAAACUAGAUGUCAUGAUAGGCUUUGAAGAUUUUGGUAGAUCGAGAUGUGUGCCCGUAAGUCUAUUAAACUAAUAGAUAGACAUGUUUGCCUUCAUGAUAGACCAGAGAUCAAGGAUUAGAUAAGAAAAAAGAAUAGCAGAGAUAAGGCAAGGGAUAAAAGGAAAAAAUAUUUUUUUUUAUUUUUUUAGAAAAUGAUUAAGCUAGUUCGUAGUCAACUCAACAACCGUCUCCCCGGCAAUGGAGCCAAAAAAGCUUGUUGACACUUGCUAACACCACUUGAAUACUAGGUUGUCAUCCCCAGCAUGGCACUAGGGUGUACUAUGGUAUUUAUACGCACACAGAUAAUCUGCAAGCGCACAGAUACCGUUGUAGCUUUUACCCGGUUAAAGGUUUUAUCGUAUCCACAGGGAAACAGGAGAACCAACUAUGCUCUAACUUAACCAAGAUAGUGUGGGGGUAUAAACCCCUAUACCCUUACGGCUAGACUUGGGCCAGGAGGCUUGGCCCAUUACGAGACAAGUUCGAGGCUUGAUCCGACCGCUCGGAGUUUCGCGCAAGGAAACAAGACGUGGAGAUCAAGCAGGAUUCUAGUCGAUUAGAACUGGAAUUGAUAUCGAACUAUCUAUGGCAAUUGUAAACGACUAGGAUUAGUUUCUAGAUCUGUAACCCUGCCCUCCGGACUAUAGAAGGAGGGGCAAGGGACCCCCCUAGGACACAUUAUUCUCUCAACACAAAUCAAUACAAUCAGACGCAGGACGUAGGUAUUACGCCCACACGGCGGCCGAACCUGGAUAAAAAGCUUGUCUGUGUCUUGCGUCACCAUCGAGUUCGUAGCUUGCGCACCGUCUACCGAUAAACUACUACCGUGGGU